CAAAUAGCAACUUUGCGAGGGUAUUCAUGCAAUUACGCAUAUUUAGGAGGGUAUACACUUCAAAAAAAUCUAAUCAAAAAUAAUCAAAAUCCAGUAAAGAUAAUCGUUAAUAAAAAAGAUAACAAAAUAAAAUUAAAUCAUGUUAAUAUCAACUCUUACAGAAUAAAUCAUGUUACUUUUACGAAAUUCUCGUCUCAAAAACAAACAACUCAACAUUUACAAAUCACUAAAAAAUAUUUUACUAAUCUAAGCAUCUAUAAUUAAUUUAAAUUUGAUAGCUUCAAUCUUUUAAAAAUAAUGACGAAUAUAUAGAUGUCAUAAAUUCAAUAAUUAUAAUUAUAUCAAAAUCAAAUGAAGAAUAGAAUUACCAAAAUGACCACCUAAUAUUCCAACUUGACUGAGCCAAGAUCUUAAAAAAAAAAUUAACAAUGUGACUCGAUCUUUUUUUGACUUAUCAAUCCAACUGAAUCAUAAAAGACUUAGAAAAUUUCAGCUGAGUUUUGACAUUUUUUAAUGAAUUUUUUGAAUGUAUACCCUUUUAAAUAUGAAAGUUACUAUUUGCGUAUAUACCCUUAUAACUUUUUUUGCAUAUCUACCCAUAA
rnacentral:lncRNA from 1 species